CCUGCGUGUGGUUCUCUGCAUAGCGCACAAGUCUUUCGCCUUUUACUAAAGACUUCCGUGCAGGGCAACAGUAAGCAAUUGAAUCUAUUUUUGGCAGGCUACGCCACCGGUGAAGCCU
ensembl:snRNA U5 U5 spliceosomal RNA